GACGAACGCUGGCGGCGUGCUUAACACAUGCAAGUCGAACGGUGAACCUCUUCGGAGGGGAUCAGUGGCGAACGGGUGAGUAACACGUGGGCAACCUGCCCCCGGCUCUUGGAUAACUCCAAGAAAUUGGGGCUAAUACCGGUUGUUUACCGCUUCCCGCUUGGGUGGUGUUGAAAAGGGUUUCCGGCUGGGUAUGGGCCCGCGGCCUAUCAGCUUGUUGGUGGGGUAGUGGCCUACCAAGGCGACGCCGGGUAGCCGGCCUGAGAGGGGGCCCGGCCACACUGGGACUGAGACAAGGCCCAGACUCCUACGGGAGGCAGCAGUGGGGAAUAUUGCGAAAUGGGCGGAAGACUGACGCAGAGACGCCGCGUGGGGAAUGACGGCCUUCGGGUUGUAAACCUCUUUCAGCAGGGACGAAGCGAAAGUGACGGUACCUGCAGAAGAAGCACCGGCCAACUACGUG
rnacentral:rRNA from 1 species